rnacentral:rRNA from 1 species
CCUACGGGGGGCUGCAGUGGGGAAUAUUGGACAAUGGGGGCUACCCUGAUCCAGCCAUGCCGCGUGUGUGAAGAAGGCCCUCGGGUUGUAAGGCACUUUCAGUGAGGAAGAACGCCUGGUGGUUAAUACCCAUCAGGAAAGACAUCACUCACAGAAGAAGCACCGGCUAACUCCGUGCCAGCAGCCGCGGUAAUACGGAGGGUGCGAGCGUUAAUCGGAAUUACUGGGCGUAAAGCGCGCGUAGGUGGCUUGAUAAGCCGGUUGUGAAAGCCCCGGGCUCAACCUGGGAACGGCAUCCGGAACUGUCAAGCUAGAGUGCAGGAGAGGAAGGUAGAAUUCCCGGUGUAGCGGUGAAAUGCGUAGAGAUCGGGAGGAAUACCAGUGGCGAAGGCGGCCUUCUGGACUGACACUGACACUGAGGUGCGAAAGCGUGGGUAGCAAACAGGAUUAGAUACCCGGGUAGUC